UACGGAGGGGGCUAGCGUUGUUCGGAAUUACUGGGCGUAAAGCGCACGUAGGCGGCUUUGUAAGUUAGAGGUGAAAGCCCGGAGCUUAACUCCGGAACUGCCUUUAAGACUGCAUCGCUUGAAUCAUGGAGAGGUCAGUGGAAUUCCGAGUGUAGAGGUGAAAUUCGUAGAUAUUCGGAAGAACACCAGUGGCGAAGGCGACUGACUGGACAUGUAUUGACGCUGAGGUGCGAAAGCGUGGGGAGCAAACAGG
rnacentral:rRNA from 1 species